rnacentral:rRNA from 1 species
GUACACUCCUGCGGGAGGCAGCAGUGGGGAAUAUUGCACAAUGGGCGCAAGCCUGAUGCAGCCAUGCCGCGUGUAUGAAGAAGGCCUUCGGGUUGUAAAGUACUUUCAGCGGGGAGGAAGGCGAUAAGGUUAAAAACCUUGUCGAUUGACGUUACCCGCAGAAGAAGCACCGGCUAACUCCGUGCCAGCAGCCGCGGUAAUACGGAGGGUGCAAGCGUUAAUCGGAAUUACUGGGCGUAAAGCGCACGCAGGCGGUCUGUCAAGUCGGAUGUGAAAUCCCCGGGCUCAACCUGGGAACUGCAUUCGAAACUGGCAGGCUAGAGUCUUGUAGAGGGGGGUAGAAUUCCAGGUGUAGCGGUGAAAUGCGUAGAGAUCUGGAGGAAUACCGGUGGCGAAGGCGGCCCCCUGGACAAAGACUGACGCUCAGGUGCGAAAGCGUGGGGAGCAAACAGGAUUAGGUACCCCAGUAGUCCCAUGA